rnacentral:rRNA from 1 species
GACGUAGGGCGCGAGCGUUUGUCCGGAUUUAUUGGGCGUAAAGAGCGUGUAGGCGGCCGUGUAGGUCUGACGUGAAAUCUGGAGGCUCAACCUCCAGCUGUCGUUGGAACCGCUCGGCUAGAGUCCGGAAGAGGAGAGCGGAAUUCCUGGUGUAGCGGUGGAAUGCGCAGAGUAUCAGGAAGAACACCCGUGGCGAAGGCGGCUCCUCGUGGGACGGUACUGACGCUGAGACGCGAAAGCGUGGGGAGCGAACAGG